rnacentral:rRNA from 1 species
AUUGAACGCUGGCGGCAGGCUUAACACAUGCAAGUCGAACGAGUGGCGGACGGGUGAGUAAUGCUUUAACAUCUAGCUUAUGUAGGGGGAUGACUACGGGAAACUUUAGCUAAUACCGCGUACCAUAGGAUGAGCCCAAGUGGGAUUAGGUAGUUGGUGAGGUAAAGGCUCACCAAGCCGACGAUCUCUAGCUGGUCUGAGAGGAUGACCAGCCACACUGGGACUGAGACACGGCCCAGACUCCUACGGGAGGCAGCAGUGGGGAAUAUUGCGAAAUGGGGGCAACUUGACACAGCCAUGCCGCGUGAAUGAAGAAGGCCUUCGGGUGGUAAAGUUCUGUCGGUAGAGAGGCGUUAACUACAGAAGAAGCACCGGCUAACUACGUGCCAGCAGCCGCGGUAAUUC